CCUACGGGAGGCAGCAGUGAGGAAUAUUGGACAAUGGGCGAAAGCCUGAUCCAGCCAUGCCGCGUGUGUGAAGAAGGUCUUCGGAUUGUAAAGCACUUUAAGUUGGGAGGAAGGGCAUUAACCUAAUACGUUAGUGUUUUGACGUUACCGACAGAAUAAGCAUCGGCUAA
rnacentral:rRNA from 1 species